CCUACGGGAGGCAGCAGUGGGGAAUAUUGCACAAUGGGGGAAACCCUGAUGCAGCGACGCCGCGUGAGUGAAGAAGUACUUCGUUAUGUAAAGCUCUAUCAGCAGGGAAGAAAAUGACGGUACUUGCGUAAUAACCCCCGGCCAAUUCCGUGCCAGCAGCCGCGGGAAUACGUAGGGGGCAAGCGGUAUCCGGAUUUACUGGGUGGAAAGGGAGCGUAGACGGCAGUGCAAGUCUGGGGUGAAAGGCGGGGGCUCAACCCCCGGACUGCUCUGGAAACUGCACGGCUGGAGUGCAGGAGAGGUAAGUGGAAUUCCUAGUGUAGCGGUGAAAUGCGUAGAUAUUAGGAGGAACACCAGUGGCGAAGGCGGCUUACUGGACUGUAACUGACGUUGAGGCUCGAAAGCGUGGGGAGCAAACAGGAUUAGAUACCCCGGUAGUC
rnacentral:rRNA from 1 species